AUUGAACGCUGGCGGCAGGCCUAACACAUGCAAGUCGAACGGUAACAGGAAGCAGCUUGCUGCUUUGCUGACGAGUGGCGGACGGGUGAGUAAUGUCUGGGAAACUGCCUGAUGGAGGGGGAUAACUACUGGAAACGGUAGCUAAUACCGCAUAACGUCGCAAGACCAAAGAGGGGGACCUUAGGGCCUCUUGCCAUCGGAUGUGCCCAGAUGGGAUUAGCUAGUAGGUGGGGUAACGGCUCACCUAGGCGACGAUCCCUAGCUGGUCUGAGAGGAUGACCAGCCACACUGGAACUGAGACACGGUCCAGACUCCUACGGGAGGCAGCAGUGGGUAAUAUUGCACAAUGGGCGCAAGCCUGAUGCAGCCAUGCCGCGUGUAUGAAGAAGGCCUUCGGGUUGUAAAGUACUUUCAGCGGGGAGGAAGGGAGUAAAGUUAAUACCUUUGCUCAUUGACGUUACCCGCAGAAGAAGCACCGGCUAACUCCGUG
rnacentral:rRNA from 1 species